CCCCUGGAUGGUGUGGAGAGAUACGCGAUGUUAUAUUCUCUGAAAAUGGUAGAGUCACUGUGGUAUACCGUGUUACCAUACGAGGAUCAGAUGGAGAGGCAUACCGCGAGUCAACUGGGACAGUUUCAUCCAGUGAUGCACCCCUGGUAGAUCCUGUUGCUGCAGCAGAGGAAUUAGCGUUUUGCAGUGCAUGUGCCCGGUUUGGUCUUGGCUUGUAUCUAUAUCAUGAUGAAUAAAUGCUAUAGACUGCAAGGAGGGGACAUUCAGCAUUUCUAGUUAUUGCUCUUUUGAGAUAUUAGAAGAUUGUAUUUAAUGUCCACCCUUCAAACUAGUGUAAAUAUCCAGCAUAAUCCAGUUUGGGUUUGUUUCACUUGCGAAGAAAGAGUUUCUUUUUGGUCGAAAAAAAGAAACUCUUUCUUCGCAAGUGAAA
rnacentral:misc_RNA from 1 species